CGGAUGGAACACCUGUUUCUGAGGCAGAAUCAGCAAGACUUGGGAAUCGAUGGACUGGAGGGCUCUGGAGACGGAGAGUUCGCGUUGACGUUCAUGUUUUAUCCAGGACAGACAAAGGACAGUUUUCAGGCGUGGCCAGUAAGAGACUGUAAAACAGGACGAAGGAUCUGAAAAGGUGUUCACAGAGCAGAACUCCCAGCGUGCAAGCAACAGUCACAGAGAUCUCGUCCCACCUGUGACCCACAAACCAGAUGCCGAGCCAAACCGAGACGCAGUUUCCACCGCAUCAGAUGAGGGCCUGGCACCCGGAAAAGCUCCAUCAGUAUUUACCAGACAGACGACCUGAUGGACCCUG